rnacentral:lncRNA from 1 species
UUACUCAUCAUUAUAUUCCUGGGAGGUAAGAUAGGAGCCCUUUAAACCCUGCUUCUAGCCUAGACAAUAAUGUCAGCUGUUAUCCUCAGGGACUCUGCUCUGUGGGCACCUAGAACAUCACUUUGUAGAAGAAGCAGCAUGAGAAUGUAGUUCAGAAGGCUGGAGUUUCAGUUUUUACCCAAUUGGUUUUAAGUUGUGUGACUUUAACUUGCCCCACUCAGGUACAUGACUUGACAGGAUGAGUCAUGUCGCUCUCUAAGAGCCCAGUCCUGGGUCUGCCCAUAGCACACAGGGAACAUCUGAUAUGAACCUACCUACCUGAGAGACAAAACAAUUCCCAAAGAUGAUCUCAGCCUGAAAGAAGGAAUAUGAGUCAUGUCAGCAUAGCAGAGAGCCAAUGGUCAGCAAGCAGAUUUUGAAUAUUGUAUGCCUGGGAGUACCCUCUAAUCCUUACAAGCUAUAUUAAGAACCCUCCUUAUGCCUUGGAAGAGCAGGCAGCACACAGUAGAAUAAAGCAAAGCAAAACAAAAAAAAAAAA